UAGCAUAUCAAUAAGCGCAGGAAAAGAAAACAACAGGGAUUGCCUCAGUAACGGCGAGUGAAGCGGCAACAGCUCAAAUUUGAAAUCUGGCCUCUUGGGGUCCGAGUUGUAAUUUGUAGAGGAUGUUUCGGGUACCGCCUCGGUUUAAAUUUCUUGGAACAGAAUGUCAAAGAGGGUGAGAAUCCCGUCUUGGACCGGCGGUAGGGCCUAUGUGAAACUCCUUCGACGAGUCGAGUUGUUUGGGAAUGCAGCUCAAAAUGGGUGGUAAAUUUCAUCUAAAGCUAAAUAUUGGCCAGAGACCGAUAGCGCACAAGUAGAGUGAUCGAAAGAUGAAAAGCACUUUGAAAAGAGAGUUAAACAGUAUGUGAAAUUGUUGAAAGGGAAGCGCUUGCAACCAGACUUGAGCGCGGCGGUUCCCCCUUGCUUCUGCUUGGGUUACUCCGCCGUGUCCAGGCCAACAUCGGUUCUGGGGGUCGGUCAAAGGCUCUGGGAAUGUAUCUACCCACGGGUAGACUUAUAGACCAGGGUGUCAUGCGACCUCCCGGGACCGAGGAACGCGCUUCGGCUCGGAUGUUGGCGUAAUGGUUGUCAGCGACCCGUCUUGAAACACGGACCAAGGAGUCUAACAUCUAUGCGAGUGUUUGGGUGUCAAACCCGGAACGCGGAAUGAAAGUGAACGGAGGUAGGAAGCUUCGGCUGCACUAUCGACCGAUCCUGAAGUUUACGGAUGGAUUUGAGUAAGAGCAUAGCUGUUGGGACCCGAAAGAUGGUGAACUAUGCCUGAAUAGGGUGAAGCCAGAGGAAACUCUGGUGGAGGCUCGCAGCGGUUCUGACGUGCAAAUCGAUCGUCAAAUUUGGGUAUAGGGGCGAAAGACUAAUCGAACCAUCUGGUAGCUGGUUCCUGCG
rnacentral:rRNA from 1 species